AGGGAUCCUACACUAGCGCCGCCAGCCACAUCCCAUCGUAGCUGCCACCCGACCAACCUCCUCCUUCCUCGGGAUCUAAUCCCGAUCCAGAUCCUCCCCAACCAGCGAGCUCUCCUAUGUGCGAGCAAACCCCCUUCGCGUAGCCACCCACCCAACGAGCAGCCCGUAGCUGGUCCAACCCAGUGCACCCUCAUGCCCGUGGAUGGGCUCGUCCCUGAGCUCCAGCAGCCUCAUGGCGAUCCUGAGCUCCAGAUGGAGUUGGCCCUGAUCUCGAGCAGCCAGUAGCAGGUGCAGCCAUCGCCAUUGUUUGGAGCAACGUGGUCCCAAGCCUCGUCGGAGAUGCCCAUCGUCCCACUAUAGGAGUCAUGGCACCGUCGUUCAGCUCCGCCCCGUCACCACCAGCCGACAACCCGUAGGAGCUCGCCCCGUUCCCGCGCGCACAAGCCCCACAGGAGAGGAUCUCCUCCGUGUUGAGCCCCUGGGCGCCUCCCUUCCUCCCCUCUCCUUUCCUCCUCUGCUCUCCCUCUCUCUAACCAUCUUUUCUGAACCAGGGACAGCUGCACCAUGGAUGGAUUCGGCGUUGACCCAGCCGGCUGCCUCCAAAGCACAACUAGGUGCCGGAUCUGGACGGGGGCAAGUCAGUCAGCCCAUUCCCGCAAACUUCGCUGCAGCCCCAGCUCGCCUCUAACCGCCAGCAAGCCUCGCCGUUGCGUUUGCCUGCUGCAUCUGAUGGUGAGAACCCUUGUGCAUUCGUGGGAACAAGGCCCCCGCGUCAGAUUAGCUCAACUGCCAUAGCGCCCGUAGUUGGAUACAAACACUGCUUUGGUGUAGUGGUUAGCUGCACCAAACUCCAUUCAGUAGAUCCUGUGUUCGAGUCCCUACGACAGCAUUAUUUAACAUGCUUUUUUUGUCUCCUUCGGAUCAGCUGUUGCCAUGUUUUAUAGCCUGUCUAGUCUAAUUUCGUUCA